rnacentral:tRNA from 1 species
GUUUCCGUGGUUGAAUAAUGAUGGUGAUUUUUAGGCCAUUAGACUUGGUUUAAGCCCGGGCGGAAAUU